rnacentral:lncRNA from 10 species
ACAGAUGAGAAAACUGAAACAUUGAGAAGUCAAGUAACUUGCUCAAGAUUAUAUAGCUAGUGCAUAGAGGGGCAAAGAUUUGAACCAGAUUGCCUGGUUCCACAUGCACUUUAACCUGCUUUAUUUAGGCUUUUGAAAGCAACCUAAAUAGCUAACAUUGACUAAAUAAGUGCAGUAUACCUGGUCUGUGUGACAUUUUGCAGGUAUUAAAAAGUGAACAUUCUGAACCCUUUUAGCAAUAUGGCAAAUACUUCUGAUGUGAUGUAUGCAUAUAAAUAUGAUCGAAAGCAAAUAUCCCAAAAGGUUGAUGGCAGUUAUGUCAGGUUAGUAGCACAAUAGUUUCUUUUCUCAUUUUCUCACAUUUUUAGUAAUGUGUGUUGCCUAUAUUAAAAAACAAAUAUUAAAAAGUAGUAGCAUGUAUUAGAUCAGAGCAUGGGCUCAGACUGCCUGUGUCAUCUCUUAUUAGAUGUAUGACCAGGGACAAGUUAUUGACCUUUUGUUUCUAAGUCUCUAAGUUUAUCCUGUAAAAUGAAGAUAAUUGUAGUAACUACCUAAUAACAUGAUUGUAAGGAUUAAAUUAUUUAGAACACUAUUUGUUACUUGGAAAAUAUGCAAUCAUAAGCUAUUUUGUUGUUAUUGUUAUUUUACUACCAAAGCUUAUUGUUUCAGAGCCCCUAGGUGACCAGGCAAAAUGGCAGUUCCUUCCAGCUGGUCCUCAGAUGGGCACAUCUAUUAGCCUCUGCUCUUGUAAGAAGUUAGCUGCAGAACCCACAUGUGAAUCCUUGUAGGACUCUGGAGAAGAUCAAAUGGGAGCUUAGAUGUGGAAGCUCUUUGGAAACCAAGAAACACUCUGAAAAUGAAAAGGGUGGAAGAGUAAACUGUUCCUGUUUCUCCAUCUUGACAGGAAGCAGAAGUUCUCCUUAGCUGAUUUUUCUUCUUGCCUUAUACUGGGUUCUUUAACACCAGAACAAAAAUAAAUAAAUAAAAGAAUCUUCCAGAAAUUCAUGAAGAGACUUCAGGUCAGGAAAGCCUGAACUUUCUCAUCCAACACCCGUUCAAGUCGGAGGAUGCUGAUUAAUUCAUGAUGGAAAGGUAUCAAUUUCACAGCCCAGACCUCUACAUUCUUGAAAUGCUCUUCUCAUGGGAGACAUUAAAUAAGCUUUGAAUUAACUGAAGAACCAAUGAUGUGAUCCCUGGAUACUGGCAAUUGUUGCCCAAGAAAACCUCUCCCCUUGCUGUGGGACUGCUGGGCAC